rnacentral:tRNA from 1 species
AGGUUCAUAUGUCAAUGGUAGACACUCGGACUACAAAUCCGAUAAUCUGGGUUCGAUUUCUAGUGAACCUG